GACGUAGGGGGCCAGCGUUGUUCGGAAUUACUGGGUGUAAAGGGUUCGUAGGCGGUGUGGCAAGUUGGGAGUGAAAUCUCUGGGCUUAACCCAGAGGCUGCUUCCAAAACUGCUGUGCUUGAGUGUGGGAGAGGUGCGUGGAAUUGCAGGUGUAGCGGUGAAAUGCGUAGAUAUCUGCAGGAACACCCGUGGCGAAAGCGGCGCACUGGACCACAACUGACGCUGAGGAACGAAAGCGUGGGGAGCAAACAGG
rnacentral:rRNA from 1 species